rnacentral:rRNA from 1 species
CAGUAGCCGCGGUAAUACAGAGGGUGCAAGCGUUAAUCGGAAUUACUGGGCGUAAAGCGCGCGUAGGUGGUUUGUUAAGUUGGAUGUGAAAUCCCCGGGCUCAACCUGGGAACUGCAUCCAAAACUGGCAAGCUAGAGUAUGGUAGAGGGUGGUGGAAUUUCCUGUGUAGCGGUGAAAUGCGUAGAUAUAGGAAGGAACACCAGUGGCGAAGGCGACCACCUGGACUGAUACUGACACUGAGGUGCGAAAGCGUGGGGAGCAAACAGGAUUAGAUACCCGUGUAGUCCCUGUCUCUUAUAA